rnacentral:lncRNA from 10 species
GAAUAAUUACACCAGCUGUGCUAUAGAGACUGAACUGGAAGAGAGAAUGAUUGGAAGUUGUUGUAAUGGCCCAGGUAAUGGCAACCUGGUUUCUUUUUUUUUUUCUGAGACAGAGUCUCGCUCUGUCGCCCAGGCUGGAGUGCAGUGGCGCAAUCUCGGCUCACUGCAAGCUCUGCCUCCUGGGUUCACGCUAUUCUCCUGCCUCAGCCUCCCGAGUAGCUGAGGUUGCAGUGAGCCGAGAUCGUGCCACUGAACUCCAGCCUGCGUGACAGAGUAAGACUCAGUCUCAAAAAAAAAAAAAAAAAAAAAAAAGAAUCCUGCACAAAUAGGUGCUAACUCCCCUUUUCCUCCCCACUACCAAUAUCAUCAUCCAUUAAAGAAGGUGCAGGAUGCUAUACUAACAGGAGGGGGUACACAAUGAACUCUGUCCACAAAAUGCCUAAAAGUAGGAAAAAGAAAAAAACCAAUCAAACCAAUGCCAUUCAAAUCUAAUGUAAAAAGAAAACUAAAUGCAAAUAAAAACAUUUCUGCUGAUUAAAGAAAACCAGUAUUUAAAACUAUACUCUAAGAAAAUGUGCCAGGGAGUAAACAUAUUACCAGGAAGAAUUAACUUCAAAAUACAUUCUAAUGAAACUAUUAGAUUUUAAAGGAAAGGAAAAAAAUUCUCAAAACAUCAAGGCAAAAAUAAUUAGCCAGGCUGGCGCGGUGGCUAACGUCCGUAAUCCUAGCACUUUGGGAGGCUGAGGUAGGCGGAUCACUUGAGGUCAGGAGUUCAAGACCAAUACGGCCAACAUGGCGAAACCCCAUCUCUACUAAAAAUACAAAAAUUAGCUGGGCGUGGUGGCACAUGCCUGUAAUCCCAGCUCCUAAGGAGGCCGAGGCACAAGAAUCGCUUGAACCCAGGAGAAGGAGGCUGCAGUGAGCCGAGAUCAUGCCACUGCACUCAAGCAUGAGCAACAGAGCGAGGCUCUGUCUUUAAAAAAAUUAAAAAAGAAAAAAAAAACUAGCCGUGCAUGGUGGUUCAUGUCUGUGAUCCCAGCUACUCAGAGGCUAAGGUAGGAGGAUCACUUGAGCCUGGGAGGCGGAGGUUGCAGUGAGUCAAGAUCAUGCCACUGCGCUCCAGCC